ACGGAAGGCAGCAGUGGGGAAUAUUGCACAAUGGGGGCAACCCUGAUGCAGCGAUGCCGCGUGGAGGAAGAAGGUUUUCGGAUUGUAGACUCCUGUCUUAAAGGACGAUAAUGACGGUACUUUAGGAGGAAGCUCCGGCUAGCUACGUGCCAGCAGCCGCAGUAAUACGUAGGGAGCGAGCGUUGUCCGGAAUUACUGGGUGUAAAGGGAGCGUAGGCGGGACGGCAAGUCAGAUGUGAAAUACAUGGGCUCAACCCAUGGGCUGCAUUUGAAACUGCUGUGCUUGAGUGAAGUAGAGGUAAGCGGAAUUCCUGGUGUAGCGGUGAAAUGCGUAGAUAUCAGGAGGAACACCGGUGGCGAGGGCGGCUUACUGGGCUUUUACUGACGCUGAGGCUCGAAAGCGUGGGGAGCAAACAGGAUUAGAUACCCUGGUA
rnacentral:rRNA from 1 species